UACGAAGGGGGCUAGCGUUGUUCGGAAUUACUGGGCGUAAAGGGCGCGUAGGCGGUUGUCCAAGUCAGGUGUGAAAGCCCAGGGCUCAACCCUGGAUGUGCACUUGAGACUGGGCGGCUUGGGUUCGGGAGAGGAUGGUGGAAUUCCCAGUGUAGAGGUGAAAUUCGUAGAUAUUGGGAAGAACACCGGUGGCGAAGGCGGCCAUCUGGACCGAUACCGACGCUGAGGCGCGAAAGCGUGGGGAGCAAAC
rnacentral:rRNA from 1 species